AUGAACGCUGGCGGCGUGCCUAAUACAUGCAAGUCGAGCGAACAGACGAGGAGCUUGCUCCUCUGACGUUAGCGGCGGACGGGUGAGUAACACGUGGAUAACCUACCUAUAAGACUGGGAUAACUUCGGGAAACCGGAGCUAAUACCGGAUAAUAUAUUGAACCGCAUGGUUCAAUAGUGAAAGACGGUUUUGCUGUCACUUAUAGAUGGAUCCGCGCCGCAUUAGCUAGUUGGUAAGGUAAUGGCUUACCAAGGCAACGAUGCGUAGCCGACCUGAGAGGGUGAUCGGCCACACUGGAACUGAGACACGGUCCAGACUCCUACGGGAGGCAGCAGUAGGGAAUCUUCCGCAAUGGGCGAAAGCCUGACGGAGCAACGCCGCGUGAGUGAUGAAGGUCUUCGGAUCGUAAAACUCUGUUAUUAGGGAAGAACAAAUGUGUAAGUAACUAUGCACGUCUUGACGGUACCUAAUCAGAAAGCCACGGCUAACUACGUG
rnacentral:rRNA from 1 species